UGCCAGCAGCCGCGGUAAUACGGAGGGGGUUAGCGUUAAUCGGAAUUACUGGGCGUAAAGCGCGCGUAGGCGGUUAUGUAAGUCGGAUGUGAAAGCCCUGGGCUUAACCUGGGAAUUGCAUUCGAUACUGCAUGGCUAGAGUAUGGUAGAGGAUAGUGGAAUUCCUGGUGUAGCGGUGAAAUGCGUAGAUAUCAGGAGGAACAUCAGUGGCGAAGGCGGCUAUCUGGACCAAUAAUGACGCUGAGGUGCGAACGCUUGGUGAGCAAACAGGAUUAGAUA
rnacentral:rRNA from 1 species